rnacentral:lncRNA from 1 species
GAAGAUCGUGCUAAUAUGGAUAAUGGCAAACCAAGACUAAGCCUGGAUUCAGACAAGAUGGGUACAUCUGGAUCCGAGAAUGAUGAAUCUCUGAGAUCUAUUUCUCAAAUUGAUCCUUCUUCAGUUGCUGAAUUGCCUGCAUCUGUGCCUUCAACAUUCCAUGCUGUAGGGUCUCUGCAGGACUCACCUGGGGAAAGCGUCUGUGCCUUCAACAUUCCAUGCUGUAGGGUCUCUGCAGGACUCACCUGGGGAAAGCCCUGUGUCAUGGAACUCACGCAUGCAACAUCCAUUUUCCUACCCACAUGAGACCUCAGAUAUUGAUGCUUAUGUGGACUCUCCAAUUGGGAGUCCUGCAUCAUGGAAUUCUCAUUCUCUGACCCAAACAGAGGCUGAUGUAGCUCGGAUGAGGAAGAAGUGGGGAAGUGCGCAGAAACCUAUUCUUGUUGCCAAUUCAUCCCAUAAUCAGUCUCGCAAGGAUGUGACCAAAGGGUUCAAACGGUUGUUAAAGUUUGGAAGGAAAAGUCGUG